rnacentral:misc_RNA from 1 species
UCGAGCGUCAUUACAACCCUCAAGCAUAGCUUGGUCUUGGGCUCCGCUGCUAACCCAGCGGGCCUUAAAAUCAGUGGCGGUGCCACGAGGCCCUGAGCGUAGUAAAUAUCCUCGCUAUAGGUGUCUCGCGGUAGCCUGCCAGCAACCCCCAACUUUCUAAGUUUGACCUCGGAUCAGGUAGGGAUACCCGCUGAACUUAA